AUAUAGGACAAUGGUGUCAACCCUGAUCCAGCCAUGGCGUGUGUGUGAAGAAGGUCUUCGGAUUGUAAAGCACUUUAUGUUGGGAGGAAGGGCUUUAGGUUAAUACCGUGAAGUAUUGACGUUACCAACAGAAUAAGCACCGGCUAACUCUGUGCCAGCAACCGCGGUAAUACAGAGGGUGCAAGCGUUAAUCGGAAUUACUGGGCGUAAAGCGCGCGUAGGUGGUUCAGUAAGAUGGGUUUGAAAUCCCCGGGCUUAACCUGGGAACUGCUUUCAUAACUGCUGAGCUAGAGUACGGUAGAGGGUAGUGGAAUUUCCUGUGUAGCGGUGAAAUGCGUAGAUAUAGGAAGGAACACCAGUGGCGAAGGCGACUACCUGGACUGAUACUGACACUGAGGUGCGAAAGCGUGGGGAGCAAAC
rnacentral:rRNA from 1 species